CCCCGCUGCAGGCUGAUCUGGGAAAGCCUCUGGCCCAGGGCAGAUACCGCCAUGGCCUUCCUGAUGCACCUGCUGGUCUGCGUCUUCGGAAUGGGCUCCUGGGUGACCAUCAAUGGGCUCUGGGUAGAGCUGCCCCUGCUGGUGAUGGAGCUGCCCGAGGGCUGGUACCUGCCCUCCUACCUCACGGUGGUCAUCCAGCUGGCCAACAUCGGGCCCCUCCUGGUCACCCUGCUCCAUCGCUUCCGGCCCAGCUGCCUUUCCGAAGUGCCCAUCAUCUUCACCCUGCUGGGCGUGGGAACCGUCACCUGCAUCAUCUUUGCCUUCCUCUGGAAUAUGACCUCCUGGGUGCUGGACGGCCACCACAGCAUCGCCUUCUUGGUCCUCACCUUCUUCCUGGCCCUGGUGGACUGCACCUCUUCGGUGACCUUCCUGCCGUUCAUGAGCCGGCUGCCCACCUACUACCUCACCACCUUCUUUGUGGGUGAAGGACUCAGUGGCCUCUUGCCUGCCCUGGUGGCUCUUGCCCAGGGCUCGGGUCUCACUACCUGCGUCAAUGUCACUGAGAUAUCAGACAGCGUACCAAGCCCUGUACCCACGAGGGAGACUGACAUCGCACAGGUCUCUGCUGUUCCUGGGGGUCCUCUCCAUGCUUGGGACCUGCUUUGGGGGCUACAACAUGGCCAUGGCGGUGAUGAGCCCCUGCCCCCUCUUGCAGGGCCACUGGGGUGGGGAAGUCCUCAUUGUGGCCUCGUGGGUGCUUUUCAGCGGCUGCCUCAGUUACGUCAAGGUGAUGCUGGGCGUGAUCCUGCGCGACCUCAGCCGCAGCGCCCUCUUGUGGUGCGGGGCGGCGGUGCAGCUGGGCUCGCUGCUCGGAGCGCUGCUCAUGUUCCCUCUGGUCAACGUGCUGCGGCUCUUCUCGUCCGCUGACUUCUGCAAUCUGCACUGUCACGCCUAGGC
rnacentral:sRNA from 1 species